rfam:Ictidomys tridecemlineatus contig095416, whole genome shotgun sequence.
UGGGUUAUGGCUCAGUGGUAGAGCUCUCGCCUUACAUGUUUGAGGCCCUGGCUUCAAUCCCCAGUACCACAA